AAAGUCGUAACAAGGUUUCCGUAGGUGAACCUGCGGAAGGAUCAUUCACAAAUCCACUGAGGUGUGCGACUAACUAUCACCAUCUCAGCUACACAUUCAACUAAUGCGCCGUGUCAUCUGCUUGCAGAAGCUGCUGGGAAGCAACUUCUGCGCGGCAGUUUUUGUCUUACGACAAAUCUAGCAAGCACAUUGCGUCUUCCUAUUUCAACCCAUUGACCUUGACUUGCAUAUCAAAGCAGGUUGAGUACACCCUGUGUCUAUUGUACUCUGCAAAAGUGCUGCAACGACGGUAGAAAUGCUGUUGUACGAAAACGAACAAUUUAAACAACUCUUUACAAUGGAUAUCUUGGCUCUU
rnacentral:misc_RNA from 1 species